AAAAUGGUGACUCCCAACCACCCUUAAUGA
rnacentral:tRNA from 1 species